UACGGAAGGCAGCAGUGGGGAAUAUUGCACAAUGGGCGCAAGCCUGAUGCAGCCAUGCCGCGUGUAUGAAAAAGGCCUUCGGGUUGUAAAGUACUUUCAGUCGUGAGGAAGGUGUUAAGGUUAAUAACCUUAGCAAUUGACGUUAGCGACAGAAGAAGCACCGGCUAACUCCGUGCCAGCAGCCGCGGUAAUACGGAGGGUGCGAGCGUUAAUCGGAAUUACUGGGCGUAAAGGGCACGCAGGCGGUUAAUUAAGUUGGAUGUGAAAUCCCCGGGCUUAACCUGGGAAUGGCAUUCAAGACUGGUUAGCUAGAGUCUUGUAGAGGGGGUAGAAUUCCAUGUGUAGCGGUGAAAAUGCGUAGAGAUGUGGAGGAAUACCGGUGGCGAAAGGCGGCCCCUGGGACAAAAGACUGACGCUCAUGUGCGAAAAGCGUGGGGAGCAAAACAGGGAUUAGAUACC
rnacentral:rRNA from 1 species